UACGGUCGCAAGGCUGAGACUCAAAGGAAUUGACGGGGGCCCGCACAAGCGGUGGAGCAUGUGGUUCAAUUCGACGCAACGCGAAGAACCUUACCUGGGCUCGAAGUGCAGAUGACCAUCGGCGAAAGUCGACUUCCGCAAGGACAUCUGUAUAGGUGCUGCAUGGCUGUCCUCAGCUCGUGUCGUGAGAUGUUGGGUUAAGUCCCGCAACGAGCGCAACCCUUGUUUCCUGUUGCCAUCAGGUAAAGCUGGGCACUCUGGAGAGACUGCCGGUGACAAACCGGAGGAAGGUGGGGAUGACGUCAAGUCAGCAUGGCCUUUAUGUCCAGGGCUACACACGUGCUACAAUGGCCGAUACAAAGCGUUGCAAACUCGCGAGGGUGAGCUAAUCGCAUAAAGUCGGUCUCAGUUCGGAUUGUAGGCUGCAACUCGCCUGCAUGAAGUCGGAAUCGCUAGUAAUCGCGGAUCAGCGUGCCGCGGUGAAUACGUUCCCGGGCCUUGUACACACCGCCCGUCACAUCACGAAAGCUGGCUGUACUAGAAAUCGCUACGCUAACCCGCAAGGGGGGCAGGCGCUUAAGGUGUGGUCAGUGAUUGGGGUGAAGUCGUAACAAGGUAGCUGUAGGAGAACCUGCGGCUGGAUCACCUCC
rnacentral:rRNA from 1 species